GGUGGUAGUCUGACCUGGGGGUAGUUUGACCUGGGGGUAGUUUGACUUGGGGGUAGUCUGACCUGGGGGUAGUCUGACCUGGUGGUAAACUGGCUGGUGGUAGUCUGACCUGGUGGUAAACUUGCUGGUGGUAGUCUGACCUGGGGGUAGUCUGACCUGGGGGUAGUCUCACCUGGGGGUAGUCUGACCUGGGGGUAGUCUGACCUGGUGGUAAACUGGCUGGUGGUAGUCUGACCUGGUGGUAGUCUGACCUGGGGGUAGUCUGACCAGGUGGUAGUCUGACCUGGUGCUAGUCUUAGAGCUUCAGACUACUCUACACACACUGCAUACUGAAUGACUUGUUUCUAUUAGAAGAUCAAUUCAAGGUAACAGAUCAGACGGACC
ensembl:lncRNA